UGAUUUCAAUUCAAGUUCCAAAAAUAAUAUAGUCAUUUUAUUACUUCAAUUCAUCAUAUUUCUAGUCUGCUUUUACUUAUGAUUUUGUUGUGAGACUUGUUGUUGAUAUGUUUACAUUAUUAGCAUUCUAUGUACUCCCAUUCCUUAGGAUCAAUAUGAACAUGUUAGCCCCCUCUAUGUAGUCUGUCUCCAUGUGAUCUUGCUCUAUCUGGUUUUUGGUAUGAAUCUCCUUGUAAAGUAGUUUGCACUCCUAAAUUUGUAUGAUUCUGUUAUUGAUUUUAAAUUAAGUUGAUCCUAUAUUGAACCCCUUAAGCAUUGCUGAUUCUACACUAUGUCUAAUUAGUGUUUGUGAGCAUAUAUGUACCAAUUCUAAAGACUUUUGCCUGCUAUGUGUUUACUAUUACGUGCUUUACUUGUCUCCAAUUCCCAUUUACCCCCAUGUGAAGGCUUGUGGUGCUAAACCUGUCUUGAUUAUUUGUUCUAUGUGUGAUGUUGAACCUAUUUUGGUUGUGAGGGUGGUCUAUUGUUUGUUGAUUGCCCUAUUCUUUUCAAAACUGUCUUAUUGAAUAAAUCCUCUAUUGUUUUACAAAACUAUUUUCAAGUCUCUUUUCAAAUUGUUUUCCUACUUAAACUUUUUUCAAAAGUAUGUCAAGAACUCUCACUCUAUUCUUAGUUCCAUAAGUUCUGCCCCUCUAAUGUGUGACUGCUUAGGGAUCCCUAUGAGAUCCUCUGAACUAUGAUGCAUUAGAGCUGACCCUUUCACACUGCACUUACUCAAAUAUAGUUCUGAAAUCUAGGUGUGAGCUCGGGAUCCUUUGAGAUUCUUAGGGAACUCUGACACACUCGAAUAUUGAGAAAGGCUAUGAAACAAUCUGAGCAGUUGAGGCUUUGGAAAUCUGGGCCUACUUGCAGGCUCCCUAU
rnacentral:lncRNA from 1 species